CAACCCUCGGGCCCCCCCUCUGCGGGCGGCCCGGCGUUGGGGCUCAGGCGCCGUCUCUGCUCGGCGCCUGUCCCCUAAAUGCAGUGGCGGCCUCGCCGCUGCCUCCUCCGCGUAGUAGCACAAACCUCGCGGCUGGAAGGCGGCGCGGCCACGCCGUGAAACCCCCAACUUUACCAA
rnacentral:misc_RNA from 1 species